rnacentral:misc_RNA from 1 species
GAUGAAGAACGUAGCGAAAUGCGAUAAGUAGUGUGAAUUGCAGAAUUCAGUGAAUCAUCGAAUCUUUGAACGCACAUUGCGCCCCUUGGUAUUCCAUGGGGCAUGCCUGUUCGAGCGUCAUUUGUACCUUCAAGCUCUGCUUGGUGUUGGGUGUUUGUCUCGCCUCUGCGUGUAGACUCGCCUCAAAACAAUUGGCAGCCGGCGGAUUGAUUUCGGAGCGCAGUACAUCUCGCGCUUUGCACUCAUAACGACGACGUCCAAAAGUACAUUUUUACACUCUUGACCUCGGAUCAGGUAGGGAUACCCGCUGAACUUAAGCAUAUCAAUAAGCGGAGGA